rnacentral:rRNA from 1 species
AGCGAACGCUGGCGGCAGGCUUAACACAUGCAAGUCGAACGGGCAUAGCAAUAUGUCAGUGGCAGACGGGUGAGUAACGCGUGGGAACGUACCUUUUGGUUCGGAACAACACAGGGAAACUUGUGCUAAUACCGGAUAAGCCCUUACGGGGAAAGAUUUAUCGCCGAAAGAUCGGCCCGCGUCUGAUUAGCUAGUUGGUAGGGUAAUGGCCUACCAAGGCGACGAUCAGUAGCUGGUCUGAGAGGAUGAUCAGCCACAUUGGGACUGAGACACGGCCCAAACUCCUACGGGAGGCAGCAGUGGGGAAUAAUGGACAAUGGGCGAAAGCCUGAUCCAGCCAUGCCGCGUGAGUGAUGAAGGCCCUAGGGUUGUAAAGCUCUUUUGUGCGGGAAGAUAAUGACGGUACCGCAAGAAUAAGCCCCGGCUAACUUCGUG